rnacentral:rRNA from 1 species
GAUGAACGCUGGCGGCGUGCUUAACACAUGCAAGUCGAACGAAGCAUUUAAGACAGAUUACUUCGGUUUGAAGUCUUUUAUGACUGAGUGGCGGACGGGUGAGUAACGCGUGGGUAACCUGCCUCAUACAGGGGGAUAGCAGCUGGAAACGGCUGGGAAUACCGCAUAAGCGCACAGUACCACAUGGUACAGUGUGAAAAACUCCGGUGGUAUGAGAUGGACCCGCGUCUGAUUAGCUUGUUGGCGGGGUAACGGCCCACCAAGGCGACGAUCAGUAGCCGACCUGAGAGGGUGACCGGCCACAUUGGGACUGAGACACGGCCCAGACUCCUACGGGAGGCAGCAGUGGGGAAUAUUGCACAAUGGAGGAAACUCUGAUGCAGCGACGCCGCGUGAGUGAAGAAGUAGUUCGCUAUGUAAAGCUCUAUCAGCAGGGAAGAUAGUGACGGUACCUGACUAAGAAGCUCCGGCUAAAUACGUG